AGUGAACGCUGGCGGUAGGCCUAACACAUGCAAGUCGAACGGCAGCACAGUAAGAGCUUGCUCUUACGGGUGGCGAGUGGCGGACGGGUGAGGAAUACAUCGGAAUCUACUUUUUCGUGGGGGAUAACGUAGGGAAACUUACGCUAAUACCGCAUACGACCUACGGGUGAAAGCAGGGGAUCUUCGGACCUUGCGCGAUUGAAUGAGCCGAUGUCGGAUUAGCUAGUUGGCGGGGUAAAGGCCCACCAAGGCGACGAUCCGUAGCUGGUCUGAGAGGAUGAUCAGCCACACUGGAACUGAGACACGGUCCAGACUCCUACGGGAGGCAGCAGUGGGGAAUAUUGGACAAUGGGCGCAAGCCUGAUCCAGCCAUACCGCGUGGGUGAAGAAGGCCUUCGGGUUGUAAAGCCCUUUUGUUGGGGAAGAAAAGCAGCAGGUUAAUACCCCGCUGUUCUGGCGGUACCCAAAGAAUAAGCACCGGCUAACUUCGUG
rnacentral:rRNA from 1 species